rnacentral:rRNA from 1 species
AUUGAACGCUGGCGGCGUAGCUUAACACAUGCAAGUCGAACGCGAAAGGGACUUCGGUCCUGAGUAAAGUGGCGCACGGGUGAGUAACGCGUGGAUAAUCUGCCCUUAUGAUCGGGAUAACAGUUGGAAACGGCUGCUAAUACCGGAUACGCUCAAAAUGAACUUUUUGAGGAAAGAUGGCCUCUGCUUGCAUGCUAUCGCGUAAGGAUGAGUCCGCGUCCCAUUAGCUUGUUGGCGGGGUAACGGCCCACCAAGGCAACGAUGGGUAGCCGAUUUGAGAGGAUGAUCGGCCACACUGGAACUGAAACACGGUCCAGACUCCUACGGGAGGCAGCAGUGGGGAAUAUUGCGCAAUGGGCGAAAGCCUGACGCAGCGACGCCGCGUGAGGGAUGAAAGGUUUUCGGAUCGUAAACCUCUGUCAGAAGGGAAGAAACUACAUUGUGCUAAUCAGCAGUGUACUGACGGUACCUUCAAAGGAAGCACCGGCUAACUCCGUGCCAGCAGCCGC